rnacentral:rRNA from 1 species
UACGAAGGGAGCUAGCGUUGUUCGGAAUCACUGGGCGUAAAGCGCACGUAGGCGGAUGUGUCAGUCAGGGGUGAAAUCCCGGAGCUCAACUUCGGAACUGCCUUUGAUACAGCACGUCUUGAGUCCGGAAGAGGUGGGUGAAAUUCCUAGUGUAGAGGUGAAAUUCGUAGAUAUUAGGAAGAACACCGGUGGCGAAGGCGGCCCACUGGUCCGGUACUGACGCUGAGGUGCGAAAGCGUGGGGAGCAAACAGG